rnacentral:rRNA from 1 species
AAAUUGAAGAGUUUGAUCAUGGCUCAGAUUGAACGCUGGCGGCAGGCCUAACACAUGCAAGUCGAACGGUAGCACAGAGAGCUUGCUCUCGGGUGACGAGUGGCGGACGGGUGAGUAAUGUCUGGGAAACUGCCUGAUGGAGGGGGAUAACUACUGGAAACGGUGGCUAAUACCGCAUAACGUCGCAAGACCAAAGAGGGGGACCUUCGGGCCUCUUGCCAUCAGAUGUGCCCAGAUGGGAUUAGCUAGUUGGUGAGGUAACGGCUCACCAAGGCGACGAUCCCUAGCUGGUCUGAGAGGAUGACCAGCCACACUGGAACUGAGACACGGUCCAGACUCCUACGGGAGGCAGCAGUGGGGAAUAUUGCACAAUGGGCGCAAGCCUGAUGCAGCCAUGCCGCGUGUAUGAAGAAGGCCUUCGGGUUGUAAAGUACUUUCAGCGGGGAGGAAGGUGUUGUGGUUAAUAACCGCAGCAAUUGACGUUACCCGC